CAGUCGCCGCGGGAAUACGGAGGGUGCAAGCGUUAAUCGGAAUUACUGGGCGUAAAGCGCACGCAGGCGGUCUGACAAGUCAGAUGUGAAAUCCCCGGGCUUAACCUGGGAACUGCAUUUGAAACUGUCAGGCUGGAGUCUUGUAGAGGGGGGUAGAAUUCCAGGUGUAGCGGUGAAAUGCGUAGAGAUCUGGAGGAAUACCGGUGGCGAAGGCGGCCCCCUGGACAAAGACUGACGCUCAGGUGCGAAAGCGUGGGGAGCAAACAGGAUUAGAUACCCCAGUAGUCCCUGUCUCUUAUAC
rnacentral:rRNA from 1 species